CCUGGUGCGUCGUCCAGCGGUGAAAUUGGCUCCCCUGGACCUUCGGACAUCUGGACGGUCCGGAACUACACGGGUGGGGGAAGUUGCGGAACCUCUGGGCACGAAACUGAGUGAGUUCAGUACCGCCCGUACCUAUCAAAGUAGCAUAGACAUCAACGCGAGAAAUGACAGGCAACAUGACAUUGAAGCUUCAACUGUCAAAUGCAGCAUACCUUCAACGUGGCAAGAAGACACAGUGCAAUUAUUAGUUGGUCUACCUAGAGAAAUAUAGUUUCUAAACCUAAAUUACUAUUAUAAUUAGUUAAAAUUCCUACCUAAAUUAGUUUCUAUCAAUUGAAAUAUUCUAAUGAAAUCAAGUUUAGCCGAUAAUUGGGAAACUAAGAUACUUACGCUAAUAGUACGGGAUCGAAAGGUGUUAAACUACGUGAAAUUUGGCUGUUUAACCAUAUUCUAAGUAGACACGCAAAGAAAACAGAAACAAAGGGUUAGUUUGGACACAGUCGGAGAAGAAGAAAACGAAAAUGUAAGAUUUCUAAAUUAAACUAUGAACUAUAAAAA